UAUAUGCUUUUGCUUGUAUUUUUCUCAUUUGUAAGUCGCUUUGGAUAAAAGCAUCUGCUAAGUGAAUAAAUGUAAUGUAAAUGUAAUGAAUAUUCAUGUAGGUGAAACUAGGACAAACUGUUGUAUCUCCAGCUUGAGGGAAAUCACUGAGCAUACAUUUCUCACACCUAGUUAGUAUCUUUUUAAAUACCACUGAGCCUGUCCUCUGUGUCUGUUUGAUAGCUUGCAAUUUGUUAUUCCUUAGUGUGUAUCCACUAUUAUUGCCAAGCUAUAUGAGUGGGAUGUUGUUUAAAUUGCAGAAGUUAGAAAAAUACAGGACAUGCAUGUACUGAUAGGGCCACUUGUGUUAGAGAAGAUGCACCAAUGUUCAAGGAUGUGUGUGUGUUAGUUUGCAAAAAGACCUCCUUUAUACUCUUUUCAAAACAGAUGGAUGAGCUGUAGAGAGUCUUUGUUUUGGAGGGGUAUAAAAUAGUGUGUCAAGAUGGGGUCAAGGAGCUUUGCAAACCGACUUGGCUCUUGUUACUAUUGUAAUCAAAGUCUAAUUUCUUUUUGCCAUCAAAAACCUUGAGACUCAGAAGUUUUUAUUUCUGCUAAAGAAGAUUCCAAGACAGUACUUGUAAAGUUAGAUAGAUAGAUAGGGUGCCAAUACUUCUAGAGUUGGAUAGUCUCUGUUAGAGAUACAUUGACAGAGUGAUAUAUAAAUAGAUAGCAUAGUAUCGAUACUAGCAUAUAGAUAGAUAACAGAUAAAUAACUACAGAUAGGGUGCCAAUACUUGUAGAGUUGAACAGAUAUAUAGGUUGAAAAUACUUCUAGAGUUAGCUAGAUGGUAAAUGGUCUGCACUUAUAUACUGCUUUUCUAUUUUUAUUUAUUUUAUUUUUUUUACCUUAGCGGCUCUACAAAGCUCUUUAGACUGUUUCUUAUUCACCCAUUCACACACACACUCACACACACACACACACACACACACACACACACACACACACACACACAGACACACACACCAAUGGCUGCAGAACUGCCAAGCAAGGUGAUUGCUUGCCAUCGGGAGCAACUUGGGGUUCAGUGUCUUGCCCAAGGACACUUCGGGGUGUAUCUAAAAGUGUCCAUGCCCACUUCAAACCUUUUGAUGUUCCCUUGCAAGGGUAAAUAUGUGUACGUCUGAAACAUUGAAUAAUAUACAAUCAUUUACACAUUAUUUACUAAGCCAUAUUCAAGUUUUUUUUUUUUUUUUUUUUUACUAUUAUAGUGCCACCAAGUGGCCAAACUCCUCCAUUUUUGAAAAUUGCCCACAGAUGGAGACCACACAUAAAUAUACCAAGACACAGCAGUUCACAGGAGGUGUGAAAUGUAAAACGAGCUCCAAGCAUUUGCACCACUGGGACACUUGAACUCUCGUCCCCUGCCAGAACACCCUGAUAUAAGAAGAUAUGGCCAGACAUGCCAUUUGAUCUCUGUAGUUUCAUCAAUACUGAGCCAGUUGCAUCAAAACUCACAGUGGGGUUAGUUGACUUAUUUGAUAAUGACUUGUACAUAAACAUGUGUGUUUGAUUCCAGUAGUGACAGAAAAACUUGUCCAGUUCAGUGUCUUUAAUGCUACCACUGUGAGGUGCACUAUAUUUUAACAUCUGCAGUGACAAAUUAGGAUCCUUGUUGCCUAAUUCUAAGUCAUUUCUCUUUUGCUUUGCUUUGUGCAGGGUGGCCAAAUUAGGCAGAUGGCUUGGCUCAGGAUCUUCAAAAUCCAUCAGCUUUGUUUCCUCUGAUGUCCUCCAUACAUGGGGUUCCAUUCUACCCUCACAUUAGCUAUUUAGCUAUCUGCACACACAAGUUACCAGACAUUGCAUGCUUGGAACAGUCAGUGUGCAGGGAGUCAUCGGUGUUUUUAAUUAAACACUUGAGCACCAUUAGGCUGUUCGUUUCAGGCUCUCUGUCACAUUUUAUGUGAAUGUGGCCAUGACAUUCCUUACAGUUGCCUCUGAUUUCUAUGAAUUUCUGUGUUACUGAUUUAUAGACCUUGGCUCUUUUAAAGACAAAUGUGCGGGGGCUUUUCAUUCUUCCCAAAUGUGAUGAUUUAUCACAUGCGUCCAGAUGCCAGGCUUCAAAAUUGUGUUUUAGAGAACUUGUUUUUGUAUUGAACUGUUUCAGGGAUGAAUUCAAUCCAUUUCUGAAAUGGAACUUGAAGAUCAAAACUCCAGCAAUCUUUUGGUCUGGGGGAAAGGGACCCUGACUCAAAAUCAGUGUCAUCACUACUGCCAAUUGUUUCAUGAUCACUUUCAUAAAUAAACCUUAAAGCAGUCCAGAUGUU